AUUGAACGCUGGCGGCAGGCCUAACACAUGCAAGUCGAACGAGUGGCGGACGGGUGAGUAAUGUCUGGGAAACUGCCUGAUGGAGGGGGAUAACUACUGGAACCGGUAGCUAAUACCGCAUACCAUCGGAUGUGCCCAGAUGGGAUUAGCUAGUAGGUGGGGUAACGGCUCACCUAGGCCACGAUCCAUAGCUGGUCUAAGAGGAUGACCAGCCAGACGAGAACUGAUACACGAGCCAGAAGCCUACGGGAGGCAGCAUAGGGGAAUAUUGCACAAUGGGCUCAACCCUGAUGCAGCCAUGCCGAGUGUAUGAAGAAGGCCUUCGGGUUGUAAAGUACUUUCAGCGGGGAGGCGUUACCCGCAGAAGAAGCACCGGCUAACUCCGUGCCAGCAGCCGCGGUAAUUC
rnacentral:rRNA from 1 species